rnacentral:lncRNA from 1 species
UCAAAUUUGUACAUAAAAAGAAAAAAAAAAAGUAAUUAUGAGUGGAAUGAGCGGGAAAGGAGCCCAAAGCGUGAACGUCCUUUUCAGCGAUUCCUUGAGAACAUAAAAUUCUAACGAGGAAGGAGGAGGGAGUGGAGGGUGUGAGAAAUCUCUCACUGAAGUUCCACCAACUAUACGGCAGUGAACUAAAUGGUAGGCACCCAACG